rnacentral:rRNA from 1 species
AUUGAACGCUGGCGGAAUGCUUUACACAUGCAAGUCGAACGGUAGAGGGGGCAACCCCUCGAGAGUGGCGAACGGGUGAGUAAUAUAUCGGAACGUGCCCAGUCGUGGGGGAUAACGUAGCGAAAGUUACGCUAAUACCGCAUACGAUCUAAGGAUGAAAGCGGGGGAUCGCAAGACCUCGCGCGAUUGGAGCGGCCGAUAUCAGAUUAGGUAGUUGGUGGGGUAAAGGCUCACCAAGCCAACGAUCUGUAGCUGGUCUGAGAGGACGACCAGCCACACUGGACCUGAGACACGGUCCAGACUCCUACGGGAGGCAGCAGUGGGGAAUUAUGGACAAUGGACGCAAGUCUGAUCCAGCCAUUCCGCGUGCAGGAUAAAGGCCCUCGGGUUGUAAACUGCUUUUGUACGGAACGAAAAGGUCUCUCUUAAUACGGGGGACUCAUGACGGUACCGUAAGAAUAAGCACCGGCUAACUACGUGCCAGCCGCCGCAGUAA